CAAAGACGGUGCUUACCUUAGCAACAUCUUUGAAAGUAAGCAUUCUAAGACGUUGUUGAAGUAAGCACUGUCUAUGAAUGCUUACUUUCAAAGACGUUGCUGAAGUAAGCAUCGUCUAU
rnacentral:pre_miRNA from 1 species